UACGAAGGGGGCUAGCGUUGUUCGGAAUUACUGGGCGUAAAGCGCACGUAGGCGGAUUUGUAAGUCAGGGGUGAAAUCCCGGGGCUCAACCUCGGAACUGCCUUUGAUACUGCAAAUCUCGAGUCCGGAAGAGGUGAGUGGAAUUCCUAGUGUAGAGGUGAAAUUCGUGGAUAUUAGGAAGAACACCAGUGGCGAAGGCGGCUCACUGGUCCGGUACUGACGCUGAGGUGCGAAAGCGUGGGGAGCAAACAGG
rnacentral:rRNA from 1 species